rnacentral:rRNA from 1 species
CGCACGGGUGAGUAACACGUAUCCAACCUGCCGUCUACUCUUGGACAGCCUUCUGAAAGGAAGAUUAAUACAAGAUGGCAUCAUGAGUCCGCAUGUUCACAUGAUUAAAGGUAUUCCGGUAGACGAUGGGGAUGCGUUCCAUUAGAUAGUAGGCGGGGGUAACGGGCCCACCUAGUCUUCGAUGGAUAGGGGUUCUGAGAGGAAGGUCCCCCACAUUGGAACUGAGACACGGUCCAAACUCCUACGGGAGGCAGCAUG